rnacentral:rRNA from 1 species
UUAAGUGAAUAAGGGCGCACGGUGGAUGCCUUGGCACUAGGAGCCGAUGAAGGACGGGACUAACACCGAUAUGCUUUGGGGAGCUGUACGUAAGCUAUGAUCCAGAGAUUUCCGAAUGGGGGAACCCAGCAUCUUUAAUAGGAUGUUACGAUUGUGUGAAUACAUAGCACAUUCGAGGUAGACGCAGAGAACUGAAACAUCUAAGUACCUGCAGGAAGAGAAAGAAAAUUCGAUUCCCUGAGUAGCGGCGAGCGAAACGGGAAAAGCCCAAACCAACAAGCUUGCUUGUUGGGGUUGUAGGACUCCAAUAUGGUCGUUCUUUCAGAUAGUCGAAUGACUUGGAAAAGUCAGUCAAAGAGGGUAAAAACCCCGUAGACGAAAUGUGGAAGACACCUAGGAGGAUCCUGAGUACGGCGGAACACGAGAAAUUCCGUCGGAAUCCGGGAGGACCAUCUCCCAAGGCUAAAUACUCCCUAGUGACCGAUAGUGAACCAGUACCGUGAGGGAAAGGUGAAAAGCACCCCGGAAGGGGAGUGAAAUAGAACCUGAAACCGUGUGCCUACAACAAGUCAAAGCCCGUUAAUGGGUGAUGGCGUGCCUUUUGUAGAAUGAACCGGCGAGUUACGAUUGCAUGCGAGGUUAAGUUGAAGAGACGGAGCCGCAGCGAAAGCGAGUCUGAAUAGGGCGUUUGAGUAUGUAGUCGUAGACCCGAAACCAUGUGAUCUACCCAUGUCCAGGUUGAAGGUGCGGUAAAACGCACUGGAGGACCGAACCCACGUACGUUGAAAAGUGCGGGGAUGAGGUGUGGGUAGCGGAGAAAUUCCAAACGAACUUGGAGAUAGCUGGUUCUCUCCGAAAUAGCUUUAGGGCUAGCCUCGGAAUUGAGAAUGAUGGAGGUAGAGCACUGUUUGGACUAGGGGCCCAUCUCGGGUUACCGAAUUCAGAUAAACUCCGAAUGCCAUUCAUUCAUAUCCGGGAGUCAGACUGUGAGUGAUAAGAUCCAUAGUCGAAAGGGAAACAGCCCAGACCACCAGCUAAGGUCCCAAAAUAUAUGUUAAGUGGAAAAGGAUGUGGGGUUGCACAGACAACUAGGAUGUUGGCUUAGAAGCAGCCACCAUUUAAAGAGUGCGUAAUAGCUCACUAGUCGAGUGACCCUGCGCCGAAAAUGUACCGGGGCUAAACAUAUUACCGAAGCUGUGGAGUACACCUUUAGGUGUAUUGGUAGGAGAGCGUUCUAAGGGCGUCGAAGGCAGAUCGUGAGGACUGCUGGAGCGCUUAGAAGUGAGAAUGCCGGUAUGAGUAGCGAAAGACAGGUGAGAAUCCUGUCCACCGAAUGACUAAGGUUUCCUGGGGAAGGCUCGUCCGCCCAGGGUUAGUCGGGACCUAAGCCGAGGCCGAUAGGCGUAGGCGAUGGAUAACAGGUUGAUAUUCCUGUACCCGUUGUUUUUGUUUGAGCAAUGGAGGGACGCAGGAGGCUAAGGAAUGCAGACGAUCGGAAAUGUCUGUCCAAGCAGUAAGUCUGAAGAGGAGUCAAAUGCUUCUUUUCUUAAGGACAAGCUGUGAUGGGGAGGGAAAUAAUAGUACCGAAGUUCCUGAUGUCACACUGCCGAGAAAAGCUUCUAGUGAGAAAACAGCGGCCCGUACCGCAAACCGACACAGGUAGUCGAGGAGAGAAUCCUAAGGUGAGCGAGAGAACUCUCGUUAAGGAACUCGGCAAAAUGACCCCGUAACUUCGGGAGAAGGGGUGCUGAUCAUACGAUCAGCCGCAGUGAAUAGGCCCAAGCGACUGUUUAUCAAAAACACAGGUCUCUGCAAAAUCGUAAGAUGAAGUAUAGGGGCUGACGCCUGCCCGGUGCUGGAAGGUUAAGAGGAGUGCUUAGCGCAAGCGAAGGUACGAAUUGAAGCCCCAGUAAACGGCGGCCGUAACUAUAACGGUCCUAAGGUAGCGAAAUUCCUUGUCGGGUAAGUUCCGACCCGCACGAAAGGCGUAACGAUUUGGGCACUGUCUCAACGAGAGACUCGGUGAAAUUUUAGUACCUGUGAAGAUGCAGGUUACCCGCGACAGGACGGAAAGACCCCAUGGAGCUUUACUGUAGUUUGAUAUUGAGUGUCUGUACCGCAUGUACAGGAUAGGUAGGAGCCGUAGAAAUCGGAACGCUAGUUUCGAUGGAGGCGCUGGUGGGAUACUACCCCUGCGUUAUGGCCACUCUAACCCGCACCACUGAUCGUGGUGGGAGACAGUGUCAGAUGGGCAGUUUGACUGGGGCGGUCGCCUCCUAAAAGGUAACGGAGGCGCCCAAAGGUUCCCUCAGAAUGGUUGGAAAUCAUUCGAAGAGUGUAAAGGCAGAAGGGAGCUUGACUGCGAGACCAACAAGUCGAGCAGGGACGAAAGUCGGGCUUAGUGAUCCGGUGGUUCCGCAUGGAAGGGCCAUCGCUCAACGGAUAAAAGCUACCCUGGGGAUAACAGGCUUAUCUCCCCCAAGAGUCCACAUCGACGGGGAGGUUUGGCACCUCGAUGUCGGCUCG